rnacentral:rRNA from 1 species
UACGAAGGGUGCAAGCGUUACUCGGAAUUACUGGGCGUAAAGCGUGCGUAGGCGGUUUGUUAAGUCUGUCGUGAAAGCCCUGGGCUCAACCUGGGAAUUGCGAUGGAUACUGGCAAGCUAGAGUACGGUAGAGGAUGGUGGAAUUCCCGGUGUAGCGGUGAAAUGCGUAGAGAUCCGGAAGAACACCGGUGGCGAAGGCGGCCUGCUGGGCUAUGGCUGACACUGAGGCGCGACAGCGUGGGGAGCAAACAGGG